AGAUCAUGGAAACUUAGAAAGGAGACAGUUGCUCCAAGGUUGAACUCAGACUCCCUUCCUCCUUGUUCUUCAUGGUGGUGGAGUGGAAUAAUGUGAGAAAAAGUCCAUCUGAAUACUUUCUGGUCACACUUUCAACUCAGAUCGCUACAAUUCUUCAGAAACAG